UCCAUGACAGAUGCAAUAAGCAGCCACUGAUUCCAAAAUUCUUGCUAAAAGAUAUACAGUGCCUUGAGAAAGUAUUCGUACUCAACAUGUUGUUGUUACAGCCUGAAUUCAAAAUUGAUUAAAUAGAAUUUUGGGGGGCCAAGUGGGGAAUGGUAAUGUUUAAAAAUGAAUGUUUUAAAAGUUGUUAAUAAGGUACAUUAAGGAUGUUAGCUUGAUCUGGAAAUCCUCAGGUUAAAACGGUUAGGGUUUGAAGUGGAUGGACUUCCUGCUUAGCUGAGAAUCAGGUGGGAGUUGAGUGGGUGGAAAAAGCAUAUUUUUAGAAUGAUGGGCACAUUAGAUGUCAACCACUGAACACAUCAUUGGAGCAGGUGUUAUUCACGAUGAGUUAGCAGAAAGAAGAACAGAGGGUAUAAAAGAGCCAUGAUUUUUGAAAGGGAGUACUCUCUUUGAGCUUGCCAGAAGAGCCUGUGGACUGCUGGAAGAUUUUUUUUGCUGCGGCUUUUUAGCCUACAAUAUAUUUCGAUUUUUAUUAUACUCAUAUUUAAAUUUGCAUUAUACUCAGUUAAAGUAAAAUUCUAGGAGGAAUCCUUAAUGGUACCUCAUUGAUAGAGGUGUGGUAAGUUAGCGGUUAGUUUCUAGAAGACGUCUGACGGACUGAUCAGACUCUGUUUAUAGAGUUGUAGAAGAGUCAACUUGUUCCUGAAGGUCUCUAUCUAAAACAGUCGUGGAAGCCACCCUGACAGCCAGUGAGUGCCAGGUAGAGGAACAGAAAGACCUACUGCUAUCACUGAGAGCCACAGUGGAGAAACAGAGUUCUGCACUCCAAGAGCUGAGAGCCACCGUGGAGGAACUGAAGAGAGAGAACAGAGAGAGACCGAAGGUAGCCUUCUCAGCUUCACUGUCUGAAACCAAAGGACCAUACAAUACUGACAUCACCCUGGUCUACAAGCAUGUCUUCACCAACACUGGCAAUGCUUACAGUCCGGUGACUGGCAUCUUUAAGGCGCCGGUGAGUGGAAUCUACUACUUCAGAUACACUGCCUUUGGAUUCACCUCCAAACAUAGAAGAGUGUCCCUGUACAAAGGAGGACAAGUUAUGGUGACUGUGACUGACCAUAGCACACCACAUGAUGGAGAAGACAGUGGAUCCAAUGGUGUCACCCUGCAGCUGGAGGAAGGUGAAGAGGUCUACACACGUCUUAAAGCAGAACAUCAGGUCUAUGAUGACGGGGCUCACCAUACCACCUUCACCGGCUUUCUGAUCUGCACUUAGGAAGCAGAGUAACAAUUGUUAGCAAAAAUGUGCAUUUGAUUACCAAGUCAAAUUUCAGAUUUUUUAUUCAGUAAAAUUGUUAAUGAAUAGAUAUUAACAGUUCCAGUGAUUUACAUUCUCUCAAGUAAAAUAGAUAACAAUGUGACAAUCCUUUACGAAGGUUUUGAUUUGCUACUAAAAUACAUCGACUGUGGUGUUUUAUGCGAUGCUUAAGACAUUGAGUUGUAUGUAUCUUUGAUUUUAAAAUAAAAUAAGAUUAAUAAGA